AUCAUAUAAUUAAUUUCUCACAACUAUUUAUUUAAACUAUUCCAAUGCUCACAAUCAUAUUUAUAAAUUAAAUAUUUUCAUAAAAGUUAGACUUUGGUUGGUGGAAUAGUGCGGUCCCUCUGCUUCUUAGUGUGUCUUCCACUGUCAAAUAAAGCAACCAAUAAAAGCACUAUAAGGUCUGCUACAAAUAAUUGAACCGACUAUACUAUCCACACAAAACCAAAAAUGGAAGCUGCAAUUUUCACAAAAAUCCUCUAUUUUUUCACUCUUUUUCUUUCCUUUUUAUUUAUAAUCACUUCCGUAACUAGCCAAUCUCCAUGCAAUGGUACAAUAGCCGAGUGUAAUGAAGAGUUGGAGAUUUUAAUGGAGUAUGAUAUUAGCCGAAGAUUUCUUGAAGAAAGAAAAAAGUAUAUUUCUCCUGGAGCUUUAAAACGAGAUCAGCCGAUUUGUAACGGCGGCGCUGGCGGCGGCGGCGAACCAUAUUCCCGCAGUUGCCUUCCGCCGCCGUCAAAUCCUUAUAAUAGAGGUUGUUCUAAAUAUUAUCGUUGUAGAGGUGAUCAAUGAUAUAAAAAAUAGGUGAUUCUGAAUUUUAUGUUUUUUUCUUCAUGUUGUGUUCCUGUAGUUGUUAUUUGUGGAUGAAAUUGUUUCUUUCAAUGCAACUAGCUAUUUAUUUAUUUUUUUAAUUAUGAAUUAGCUUGCACGACCUAGCUACUAAUAUUAAUGUUGAUAUUUCUUUAUAUACUUAAUUAUACUUGCCAAUAAUUAAUUGAAUAACAAUAAGCAAUCUAGGAGUUUUUGCAGAAUUUAUAAUUUUUGAUAAAUUUUUUAGUUUUGAAAACUUCAAGGAGGUUUCACAUCCGCUUCUUUAUUGCAGUAUGAUCGAGGGGGAAACAAAAAAUCAGGAAAUGUAUCUAGUACAACAGAAAUUAUUUUUAAUACCGUAAGGUUUUUCGAUAAUAUAAUUUCUAUGAAAAGUACGUUUAGAAAAUGAUAUGGUGUUUGAUUGGUGAGUGAAAAUAUUUUUUAAAAAUAUCUAUUAAAUAAUAAUAAUUAUAUUAACAAAUCUGAUAGUGUAACGAUAAAAAAAAAUAGUAUUAGAGAGAUUGAUAAAAAUAUUUAAGUGCAAGUUUGAGCAAUGAUGCAAAAUCAAAUAUUAAGAUAAUAGUUUUUUCUAUUACUGAAAAAAAGUUCUUUGAUAAUUUUCUAGUAGCGGAAAGCUAGGAAUUUAAGGGUGUUCAAAUUUAAAAGAGAUUUUAAAAAUGCACGAUAAAGAGUGUAAAAUAUGUGUUAUGUACCUCUAAAAUAUAAUAUUUUAUCGAUGUACACCGUAUAAUUUUUCGACAACGUGGCUUCGUCACUGCUAGUAGGAUGCUAGUUGGAAGAAAUUUUGCGAGGUUAGCUUUGUAAUGCCUUCGAACAUAAGUUUUUUUUCUUUCUUUUUCAAGUCAGUUAUUUUGAGUGACAAAGGCUUCAAUGGUAAUUUUGUACUUUAACUCAAAGGAUCAACGGUCUACCUAAUAAAACCACUCAUUUUCCAUUAAAACAUUUUCUAGAGAAAUAUUUUUUUCAUAGAAAAUAUUUUCCUUUCGUACCAAAUAUGCCCUAAAAGAAAAAAAAAAAAUUGGAGGUGGAGGUGGAGGUGCUCUGCCCAUUUGGCAACUUUCACUCACUCAUUAAGCAUUAAAUUCAGUUUCAAAAGGAAGGUCAUGAGUUUAUGCAGCACAGACUAUUUCAGAUGUUGGCACUAGUUGACAUUACCUGAGGAGAGUGUAUAUUCAGAAGGCACACUGAGUUUUGACUUACGGAUAUUUCGUUAGUAUUGUGGUACUCACCUGGUUGACCAACUACUGAUAUUGAAGUUUUUGCUAUGUUGCAUGGAAGGAUUAUAGAAGUAUUUCUCGUGGGGAUGAUUAUGUAUGAUAGAUGGGUUAGCUAUUCGAGUAGCGGAGUUGGAAUCGGCUAUGGCGAUUCAUGUGCUCUAUGAAAUUGGAGGGUGGAAGUUCUCAGAAGCAGAUUGUUUCUGUGGCAAAAGUUACCAACUGGUAGUAUGUGUUAAGGGAGUAAUUAAAAGAUUUUCUUUGCUUGUGCCUGGAAACAUAUUUGGGCCUUUAUUUCAAUUGUUUUCAACACCUUGAUAUCUUUACUCUGUUCCAAUUUGGAUCCUUGGUUUUCACUAUUGGAACUCGUGUUACAAAGGUUUUGUUUUCAUGUUCUACUUGACUUUAAAAGUUUUCGUUAAUUCUAGACUUUAAGGACCGCUUAAGUACUUGGCUUUCUUCAUACCAAGCAAAAUGAUGAGGAACAAAAAGGAUGAAAAAGAACUACAUUAAACUUUAAACUUACCUUUGCACCACCAGCCAAAGUUUAAUUAGUCAAUAUAUAAGACAUAAUCUAAUAUUAUGAUUUUUCUAGUAAUUAUUAUGGUGGAUUUUUUAUUUCAGCUAUUAGCUAAUAUUAAAUAUAAUUAAUUUCGUCUAUCUAUUCGAAUCAAGAAAUUACAAACACGAUUUUAUAUACUAAGUGACAAGUCAAAUUAAAUAGGAGUACGUCAUACUAGUCAUUUUAUACGAAUAAACAGAACUCUUUUAAUAACACUAGAAACUACUACUCCAAUAGACAACAACAACUCUGUAAUAAUAAAACUAAUUAUUGCAAGAGUUCUGUUUAUUCCUGGAACAGUUUUAAUUAUUUUAAAAUUAUGGCAAGUUCUUUGGAAUUUGGGUUUAGAGAUUUCAUUGUUUAGUUAAAGGUAGGUACGCUACUGCAUUUCAAGCUCUCAGACAGAAAGGAGCUUUGACACCUUUUCUGUCCAAGGUGUGGAUUAAAGAGAUUCCAUUUAAAAUAUCUUUUUCAUAUGGAGAAUGCUAAAGAACAGGCUGCCUUUAGAUGAUUGAAUCCAAUUGCUUAGUCUCCAGGUGGCCUCUAAUUGUUGUUGCUGCAGAAUUCCCAUGGAAAAGACACUGAACCAUGUAUUUGCGAAAGGUGAUAUGUGCCAAAAAGGUAUGGGAGGUAACUGCUAGACCGCUUGGAAUGGGAAUACAGUGAUAGACAUGUUAUUAAACUGGUGGAAUACUCAUUCCAAAAACACUGUCCGUAAAUUCAUUCUUCUGAGUACUCCUUUAGUUAUUUGCUGGGAGCUAUGGAAGGCCAGGUGUAGCAGAAAGUAUGGACAGAAAACUACCUCAAUUACUAGAAAUUCACACCUAAUUUUGACACAAGUAAAACUGUCAAUAGAUAAGAAAUUCAGUAAGAUGAAUGAGCAAUGGAAUUGGAACUUUGUUUGCAUGAUUGCAGAAGGUUACAGGCCUACAAUUAGAAGCUUGAUAGUCAGAUGGAAGGAGCCAGAGGGAGGAGGCAUGGAAACUUAACACAGACGGCAGUUUCAUGAAGGAACUACGGCGUGCGGGACUAGGAGGUGUUGUUAGGAAAGGAAGUGUCGAAAUAGUCAUGGCAUUUGCUAAACCAUGCCAAUUCUUGACUAACAACUACAGCGUGGUUCAAGCUGCCCUGUUUGGUCUGAAAUGGUGCUGCAGACAGAAUUUUAAUCACCUGACCCUCGAAAUGGACUCAUUGAUUCUUGUCAACAUAAUCAGUGGAAAAUACAAAAUCCCAUGGAGUUUGCAUAGUGCUAUUGGGCAGAUCCAGGAACUUGUUCAACAAAGGAAUAUCACUGUAGUUCACUGCUACAGGGAGGGUAACGCAGUCGCGGAUUUCUUGGCAAAGUUUGCCACACAUAUGGAGGGCUCAGUACUAUACUUAAGGGAAGAAGACAUGGCAACAGAGAUUCGAGCUCACGUGCGCAUGGAUGCCUCGAAGAUCCCUGUUUUUCGCUUCAAAACUACCAAACAUUCAGGCUGGUGUUUUCAACCUCCAUAAUGGUUUUGAGGAAUUGAGGAAGUAGGGGAGAGUAGAAAUGAAAUAUUUUAUCAACUAAUAUAAGGAGGAGCACGGGUAGGCUUCUUUAGUGGCAUGAAGAUUCUGGGGUUGUAUAGUUGUGUAACGACCCGAUUGGUCGUUUUGAGUAUUUGCACUUCGCUCGAUAGUUUGAGGGUACAAGUAUCUCCGCAUGAUAUAUUAUGACUUAUGUGAAUCGUCGGUUUUGGUUUUCAAGUUAUUCGGAAUUGAUUUGGAAGAAUGAAUUUCAAGAUUGAAGCCUUAAGUUGGAAGAGUUGAUCAAGUUUGACUUUUUAGUAUUUGACCUCGGAUUGGAGUUUUGAUGGUUCUGUUAGGUCCGGAUGGUGAUUUUAGACUCGAGCAUAUGCCCGGAUUUGCAUUUGGAUAUUUCUAGAAGGAUUUGGCACUAAAUGGCGAAAGUUGGAAACUUGAAGGUUUGGAAAGCUCAUAAGUUUGACCGGAAGUUGACUUUGAGGAUAUUGGAUCGGAAUUGUAGUUCUGGGAAUUGGAAUAGCUUCUAUACAUCAUUUGGGACUUUUGUGCAAAAUUAGAGUUCGUUCCGGGUUGACUUGAUAUGAUUCGGCGCGAGUUAUAGAAGUUGAAAGUUCAUAAGUUCAUUAAUUUCGAUUUGAGGUGUGAUUCGAAAUUUGGACGUUAUUUGAUGUAAUUUGAGGCCUUGAAUAGGUCUGCUUUGUAUUACGAGACUUGUUGGUAUAUUCGGACGAGGUCCCGAGUGGCUUGGGUGAGCUUCAGAUAGGUUUAGGUUGUGUUGCGCUUGUUUUUUAUGCUUUGGCGUCGUUUCCUCAAACAUAUUUAGCUCCACAUUAAGCAAAUGAGCUCCAAAUUUAGUUUUUAUUGAAGCAUUACAUUCCUAUCGUAAUUUCGGAGUCAUAACAAUUUAUUAAUUGAAAUUGUCUUCUCCUACAUUAUGUGAUAUAUUUAAGUCGUCUUUGGCUAAAUUGAGCCUGGAAGAGGUGAAUGUAAAGGAAGAAGCUAAAUUGAGUAUUUAGUUGGCUGAAUUUAGGUAAGUGUCUUACCUAACUUUAUUGAGGAAAUUUUUCCUACUAUUUGACAUUAUUUGCUACAUGCAGGGGUGAUAUAUAUAUGAGGUGACGAAUAUAUAUGCAUGUGCCAGGGUUAAUUAUGCUCGGGGUAGAUUAUGCUAUGAAUUGUGCCUUGUAGAAUUACGUGACCUUCUUGCUUCAUGUUACGGGACCUUCUUGCUUCAUGUCUUACUUAACUCACAGAUACUAUGAAUAUAGAAUUAAAUAUUAGAAACCAAGAUUUAGUUUAUUAUAACUUGAUUAAAAUUUGACGGAAUUCUGAGAAACAUUGAUGUGUCUAAUUCGGUCAUCAUUAUGCUUAAUCAUUAAUACAUUGCUACGACCAAUAUUGUUGAGAUAUUAUAUUCUAUACUCGUGUUGUAGAUCAUUCUUGAGAUUUGUUGAAAUACUUGAAUAAUAAGGUUCUUGAGGAUUUAUUGAACUAUUGUUGGCUUUAAAGUUGUGAUUGGGGUUCAUUUGGAAUAUUCGUUUAAACACUCUCCUUAAUGUUAUUUAUUCUUCCUACCUUAUUUGUCAUUGAUAUACAUAUGCUUGGUAAGGAAGAGUGUAAAUGCACGAAAGAUGAUGUCGUGCCAUGUUAUGUGAGUGUAAAGCACGAAGGGUGAUGUCGUGCCAUUUCAUUCAAGUGUAAAGCACGAAGGGUGAUGUCGUGCCAUGUUAUGUGAGUGUAAAGCACGAAGGGUGAUGUCGUACUAUUUAAUUUGAGAGUAAAAGCACGAAGGGUGAUGCCGUGUCAUUUUAUUUAUAUUAUCAAGCUUUUAUAUUAUCACGAGUUCAUGGCACGAUGGGUGUUUCCGUGCAGGCGAGGACGAGGGACAUGCAUUAUGUUGUGAUAUCUUUUCCUCGUGUUACGUUCAUGCCUUUACAUUGAGCUGUUAUUGUCGUACUUAUGGUUCUUAUGUGACUUAUCGUUAUUGUCCUGUCCUUGUCCUCUAUCUUAAUUGUUAUUGUGUUGCCCAACCUUAUACUUGCUUGACUUGCAAAUACCAUGUCUACUUCCUAUUGUUAUAAUUACAUCCAUGUCGUAUCUAUUUUGUUGCAGUUUAGUAUAAACCUUCUACUAUGUUAGUCAUUCAUGCCUCUACUUGUUAACCUAUAAAGAUCAUAUGUUCCCUUCUUAUGUGUUAUAUCUAUAUGUAGGCCUCCACCAUGCUAGUUAGUUGAAGUUUAUAUUCCUUCUUCCUAAUUGCUAUCAUUUUUUCAUAUGCCUUCCGCCUAGUCUCUUACUGUUGCCCAUAUAUACAACCUCGUUCAUUAUUGCUAUUUGCGUAUUUUCUACUUGUCAUUACUGUUAUCGGCACUUCUGUCAUCUAGUUGGUACUGUAAUAUGCAUAUUUGGUGAGGAUGAGAUAAAUGCAUGAAGGGUGUUUCCGUACAAUACUUGAUAUCUAAAUACAUUCCUCACGCUAUGAAAGUUAUGGAGUGACUAUCGUGGUUUAUUGGUUUUCGUACUAAGGAAAAGAUUGGUCGAGAUAUUGGAAAAUGUUAAAUUGUGAUCUCUUCUAGUACUCAAUUAUUGCUUUGCAUCAUUUUGUGUACUCUUUUCUGUUAUAUCAUGGUAUAGUUUUAUUGCUAGUUUACAGUACAGGUUUAUCAGUGAGUAUAUUUUAGCUAAAGGCCUCAUCACUACUUCGAUGAGGAUAGACAAGAUACUUACUAGGUACAUGAGGCUGGUUAUACUCAUACUACACUUCUGCACCUUGCGUGCAGAUUUUUGGAGCGGAGCUGCUGGUGAUGUCAGGAGUUGACUCUGAAGAUGUUCGUGCAUUACGGAUAUAGUUGCCAUUUGUCCUAUGUAGCUUUAGAUUUUGCUAAUCUGUUUAUGUAACUUUCAAACAGAUCGUGUAAUUAUUUGUACCAGCUUUGUAAUUUUCAAUUCUUAAAAGCUCAUGACUCGUACUACUAGUCCUUGGGUUAAUGUAUAAAUGUUCAAAUUAUUCUUCACUGUUUUUCUAUAAAUCUCAUUUGGAUUGUAUUGACUGUUAGUUGUCUUACCUAGUAGGUCGAGUUAGGUGCCAUCACGAUUGGUCAAUUUUUGGUCGUAACAAGUUGGUAUCAGAGCACUACGUUCGUAGGUUCUACGAGUCAUGAUCAAGUGUCUAGUAGAGUCUUAUGGAUCAGUAUGAUGACGUCCAUACCUAUCUUCGAGAGGCUACAGGGCACUUAGGAAAAAUUUCCCUUUCUGCUUUCCUUAUCGUGCGGCCUUGUUUCAGCUUGAAACCUAUGAUUUUGAUUCUUCCCAAUCGUUCAUAUGUGAUGUUGCGUACUCAGUAUUCACUAUGUGUCGAGAAUCUGUGAUGUUGCAGAUAGGUUACGGAGGGCUAUAGAUUCUUGUUUGUCAUUGCAAUAUGAUGUCUAAUCUUGGAAGCAGAUGAAGUGUUAAAUCUUUUAGUCGUUCAAUUGAUGUACGAGGCGGGUUCUUAUUUUCGGUUAGUAAGCACAGACUUGGGAAAAUUGGUUGGUAGCCUAGCUGUUGUGAUAAAGGUAGGUUCAUGGUAAUGUGUCGAUUUGAGUAUAGUUGGUGGGCCACCUACUGCGUGAGGAGUUGUGACCAUGUGUUUAGUAUGAAUUUUCCAUUUGGUGGGAUGCAGAUAUUAUCAUUUCAGAGCAAAUGGGGAAGUUGUUUGACUAUUGCAAGGAUGGGUAAACGUUUUGCAGAGUUUUCGAAGUGUCCUAAUGACUAGUAUUGCAUGAGUGUUUGAAGUAUUCAGCUAAAAGGUCUUGUGGGAUCGGGGCAUGUUAUGAAGAUGUGGUACUUUGGAUUACCAACGAUGUGUUCUAUGGCUUCAGAAUAAGUGGGGGAGUCUGCUAAUGACGAUCGAAUUGUAGGAUCAUGCGUUGUAUCGGUUUUCGGGCCGAGGGAUUACUUGGUUAUUCCUUAGAAUAGUCAUGUGCGGGUGAAACACGGGUGCUCGAUGUGUAUUAGUUUUGUAUUGAAGAUCAGAGUAAGGUGAGUGGUUAUCAAGAAGGUUCUGACAGGUUCCAAGUCUUAUGUAGCAUUCUUCUGAAUUGGUGUACGGGUAGGGUUAAGUUCGGUAGCGAAUGGCGAUCGGACCUGCGGUAUUUCUUUGUCAACAAAGAUUUUACAUGACAAUGUCGGAGAGAUAUAAGAAAUGGAUUUGGGUUACUAGGAGGUUCCUUCAGGGCAAUCAUAUUGGAUUGAGUUACUUCUGGGUGAUUCGGUUAUGUUAGAGAUGAUCAGUCCUGAUAACUCGAUCAUUUGUUAUUGAGUUCCAAAGAAUUCAUCAUGGUUAUGACCACGGUCGGAGUGGGUGUUUGCUACAGGUAUAGAAGCUAUAUAGUGUGUGUGGUGAUGUUCUCCAAGAUUGAGUUAAAUGUAAGGUUCGCGAUUGAUGAGAUGUUCAAUUUGCUCAAGGUUCACAGUGGAUUGUUGAAUUUUCAUAGGGUCAAAAGUUAGCAUGUUAGAGGCGAUACGCCGUGUGGGGUUGAAAUAUUAUUUGUACAAGGUUGCAGUUUAGUUUUGGAGGGAAGGAUAUGAGUUCUUGGUGACACAGACGAUUUCGGGUGUUAAAGAUUAUGCUGGCAUUAUUUGUUUUCGCCAAAGGAGAGUUUGCCUAUUGGCAGAUGCAUUGUGUUUUGACUUAUGAGUAUUUUUCUGUAAGAUGAUGGAGUAUGAAUGACGUAUCAGCCAUUUGAGUAGCGGUGUUGAGAUCGGAUAUGGAAAUUCUGGUAUACAUAAGGUCCAGAGACGGGAUGUUCUUGUUGGCAGACUAUUCCUUGAUUGCGAAUUGUGAAGGAAUGUUGAGGAUUGGGUGAUUGAUGAUAUGUGUCAUGGAAAGGUUGCUAUGGGCUAUUGGAAGGUUAUUUACCUGUUCGGGAAUGAUCGGAAUCUGGCUUGAGGAUUAUUUGUAAGCCUAAUGAGAAUGUGUAUCCUGUAUCAGAUCGGAUUUGCUUGCUCCUGUGCAGCUGUUACCACAUGUAUAUCAUCGGGCGGAACGGAUGUUAUUCGUGCAUUGGUCUAUGUUAUGUGUUUCUCUCUUAUUUUAUAACGGGUUGUGAGGGUUACAUGAUUUUUCGCACGCAUAUGGUAAUUUCGUUUAGGCUUUACGGCGUUAUGGGCGAGAAGGCCCUCUUGAUGUUGACUUGCUGAUUGCACCAUAGUUGUACUUGUCUUUCUCGACAGUGUUUGUGCCUAACCAUCUUCCCAUAACUAUAUUUUGUGCACCUUAUCGUGCUUAAUGUUGACACACAUGUGAUCUGUGAGCCCAAGUAUUAUGGCUCGAUAGGUACCCUAUGUGGAUUGAUAUGAUGGGAUCGGGUUGCGCACCGCAAUGGUACUAUGAUGAAAUGUAACCAUUUAUGCUUGUUUCGUGUAUUUUACUUUCACCUUAUUAAAAAUAGUUCAUAGGGAAUGUUAAAAUUAUCCCGCCUGCUUAACUUGCUUAAUAGCCUUUUUAUUUAACUUUCUUACUAUUACCUAUCAUGUCUGAAUUAUUACUUGUUAGUAUACGGAACCGUGUUGUGUGGGGCUCUAUAUGAUUAUUAUUGAGACUUGUUGGAGGAGCUGCUUGUAUUGGCUGAUAUGAGGUUUCUAGACCUAAGAUUUGCACUAUUGUAUUAUGAUAAGGAAAGUUUGGAAGAAUGAUACUAUGUUUCUGCGGAGCAUUUGGGCAAUGGCCCUAGUCGGACGAAUGAGCUUCUUGGUGUAUUGAUCAGAUGAGUAGUUAAGAGAUUAUGCAUGUUUCUUUCAUUAUCGGCAAUGUAUGAAGGUUUUGAACGAGGUUCUAAUCGAUAUGAGGUUUACUAGCAGUGCCGAAUUUAUUUUUGGGCAGCCAUGGUGGUCGACAGUUACUGCAGUGAGUAUCUGAGUGAUGGAGUAUAUCAUGUGAUUACAUCUUGAGUUAUUAUUAUGACUUAAUACAACCUUUUUAGACUUAUACAAUGUGUAGAUGUGAGAUUCGGGUCUUUAAUAAAUUCUAGAUGUUGGAGAUUGGGUUCUAAGUUUUAAGCACCAAGGUUGAAGUAAGGGUCUUUAGUUAUGUUGUGUUGGCAGGCUUAUUUGGAGCGGGGUGAUGUGGGAUCACCCCCGGGUAUGUUCAUGCUAAGGUUACACCGUGAUUUGAUAGCUUUGGAAUGACUCCUGGUACGUUCAAGGAUGAACGUAUGUUUAAGCGGGGGAGGAUGUAACGACCCGACUGGUCAUUUUGAGCAUUUGCACUUCGCUAGGUAGUUUGAGGGCACAAAUAUCUUCGCAUGAUAUAUUAUGACUUGUGUGAAUCGUCGAUUUUGGUUUUCAAGUUAUUCGGAAUCGAUAUGGAAGAAUAAACUUCAAGAUUGAAGCUUUAAGUUGGAAGAGUUGACCAAGUUUAGCUUUUUAGCAUUUGACCUCGGAUUGGAGUUUUGAUGGUUUCGUUAGGUCCGGAUGGUGAUUUUGGACUUGGUCGUAUGCCGGUAUUUGCAUUUGGAUAUUUCUAGAAGGAUUCGGCACUAAAUAGUGAAAGUUGGAAACUUGAAGGUUUGGAAAGUUCAUAAAUGUCACGCCCCAACUUCGGGAGGCGCAACCGGCGCUCAAUCGAGUGAACCCAACUAAGCAAGCCUUAUCAACCGCUAUCUACCCAACUCGAUAGGAAUAAGGAAACCAUGCUUACCUUUAUUUAAACUAGGAAAGAUAGUACAUUCAACAUCUUAGUUCAUUUUAUAUCGCAACAUUUAAACGUGGUUAAACUUCCAAGGUUCCAUACAAGUUAUAGUUUAGAAGAAAGCAAGAGUACAAGGUUACAACAUGGUCCAUUGACCUAUCCAAUACCCAUACAUAACCCACACAAACGUCUACGGAGCCUCUAAGGAUACAAAAGAUGUGAUAACAAUGUCGGCAACAAGGCCCCGACUAUACCUCAAAAGUGAAAGUCCAAAAUAAGAAGAUGUACAAUAUAACCCCUUGAAGGAGAAAGGGGCUCACCAAGACUUUGAGAAUAAGGUACUCCGCUAUGUGCGAUCAGCACUAUCCGCAAUGGAGCCACCUACAUUCAUAAAAAAAUGUAGCGCCCCCUGCAAAAGGGACGUUAGUGCCAUCGAAUAGCAUUAGUAUGUAUACCUAAACACCAUUUUACUAGAAAGAACUAUCAAGAAAGUACAAGCAAAUCACAUGAGUAAAUCAAAAUAUGCAAUUCAUUCAAUCCUUCAUAUAAUUUCCAAAACUUAGUUUGGGGCAUUUCUUUUAUAUCUUCAUCAUUGUUCUCAAUACCACGCUAUCUUGAGCGGAGUCCGAUCACGACCCGACCGGCUAGGUUGCCUCAUUGGAGGCAUUAUCUCAAUCACUAUUUCAUUUCCCUUAUCCGAAAUUCAAUAUCAACACAUUACCACCAUGUGUACGGCAUGGUGUCCGAUCAUGACCCGAUCGGCUAGGCCGCCUUAUCUAGGCGUUGUUCCUUUCUCAUUAGUCAUCACAUCUGAAUCUUUAUUUCAUAUAUAUUAUAUUAAUUCCUUGCUACUCAGGGCCACCAUUAUCACAUCGUUUUCCAUUUUCAGUAUUCAUCUUGCACCUCUUUCAAUUGUGCUAACAAUGGAUCGUUGAAUUGCUUUUCCUUCACCUCCACUACAAGUGAUGAUUCGGACCUAUUCUAUAUAAUUACCCCUCAUUCACUAGAGUCCGCAAGGCGAACUCCCAAACUGGCCAACUGGUAAACCUCGCUGUCUAACGGCCCCUGAUAUGCCCCCAAAUGAGCCAAACUCCCCAUAGAUUUUCGACUGAGUGCAUCUGCCACGACAUUAGCCUUUCCCGGGUAAUAGAGAAUGUCGAUGUCAUAGUCCUUGAGUAACUCUAGCCAUCUUCUUUGCCUCAGAUUCAACUCUUUCUUCUUGAAAAUAUAUUGAAGGCUCUUAUGAUCCGUAAAUACAUCCACAUGGACCCCAUACAAAUAAUGUCGCCAAAUCUUUAGUGCAAACACCAUUGUUUCCAGCUCUAGGUCAUGGGUUGGAUAGUUCUUCUCAUGAUUCUUGAGUUGCCUAGAAGCGUAGGCUAUAACCUUGCCGUGUUGCAUCAACACACACCCAAGCCCGAUCCUUGAAGCAUCGCAAUACACCACAAAUCCCUCUGUACCCUCUGGCAGGGCUAAUACCGGUGUUGUUUUCAACCUUGAUUUCAAUUCUUGGAAACUCUUUUCACAAGCAUCGGACCAUUGUAAUUUAACUACUUUCUGCAUCAAUUUAGUCAAUAGAGAGGCAAGAGUAGAAAACCCCUCCACAAACCUCCUGUAGUAUCUAGCCAAACCCAAAAAACUACGGAUAUCGGUUGGAGUGGUAGGUCUAGGCCAAUUCUUCACUGCUGCAACCUUCUGAGGAUCAACCAUAAUUCCUUCCCUGGAAAUGAUAUGACCCAAGAACGCGGCAGAUUCAAGCCAAAAUUCACAUUUUGAAAAUUUUGCAUACAGUUGAUAUUGCUGAAGAGUCUGCAAAACUGCCCUGAGAUGGUCAGCAUGGUCCUCCCGACAUUGGGAAUAUACCAGAAUGUCGUCAAUGAAAACUAUCACAAAGGCAUCUAGAAAGGGCUUGAAGACUCGAUUCAUAAUGUUCAUGAAAGCUGUGGGGGUAGUUGUUAGCCCAAAAGACAUCACCAUAAAUUCGAAGUGCCUAUACCGAGUUCUGAAGGCUGUUUUUGGAAUAUCCUGCUCCCUUAUCUUCAAUUGGUGAUACCCAGACCGCAAGUUAAUCUUUGAGAAACACGUAGCACCCUGCAAUUGAUCAAACAAUUCAUCAAUUCUUGGUAGAGGAUAUUUGUUUUUUAUUGUGACUUUGUUGAGUUGCCCGUAGUCAAUAUACAUCUGCAGCGAUCCGUCUUUCUUUCUCACAAACAAGACUGGUGCGCCCCAUGUCGACACACUCGGCCGAAUGAAACCCUUCUAUAACAAUUCCUUCAAUUGCUCCUUUAGCUCUUUCAAUUCUGUCGGUGCCAUUCUAUAAGAUGGAAUUGAUAUAGGCUGCGUGCCUGGCAUCACAUCGAUACCAAAGUCAAUCUCCCUAUCUAGGGGAAUCCCAAGGAGCUCAUCUGGAAAGAUAUUUGGGAAUUCAUUCACAACCGGUACAGACUCAAGGCUAAGAGCCUCGGCAUCGACAUCCGUAACCCGAACUAGAUGAUAGAUACACCCCUUCUUGAUCAUCUUCACGGCCUUAAGGUAGGAAAUAAACCGACCUCUAGGCACUACAUUAUCACCCUUCCAUUCAAUAACGGGCUCAUCAGGGAAUUCAAGCAUAAUAGUUCUAGUCCGACAGUCAAGUUUAGCAAAGUAUGAAUAAAGCCAAUCCAUCCCUAUUAUUACAAUCAAAUUCGACCAUCCCUAACUCAACAAGAUCGCCCGUGGUAUCCCUACCCCGCACCGUGACAAUACACCCUCUAUAGACUCGAGCAGCCAAAAUUGACUCUCUAACCGGGGUAGAUACUGAGAAUGGUUCAUGAAGUUGUUCUGGUUCUAUCCCGAAUUCCAUAGCAACAAAAGGGGUAACAUAGGAUAAGGUGGAAUUGGGGUCAAUAAGUGCAUACACAUCAUGAGAUUGGACAGUCGGAAUACCUGUAACAACAUCUAGAGAAGCCUCUGCGGUCUGGCAACCACUCAUAGAAUAGAAUCGGCUGGGUCCUCCUAAACUUUGCGCACCACCCCUAGCUGCACCACGCCUUGCGUGUGAUGGGGUACCUCGAGCUGGAGAGGGGGCUGAAGAUGUAGCAGCUGCUGGACUGGUGGGCUAAGCUGCGCCCUUACCUGCUCCCCGGCGAGACACACGACAAUGUCUCUGAAUAUGACCCCUGACCCCACAUCCAUAGCAUAUAGGUAACUCCAUAUAGCAAAUUCCCAAAUGCAUCUUCCCGCAUCUGGGGCACGGGGACCUAUGUUGCUGCUGGAACCUCUCUCUUGAUCGACCCCGCUGAUGGGAUCCCCUAUUGCCCUGACCGGGCCUGAAACGACUCCACUACUGCUGGCUGGGCCCUGAUGGCGGUGCACUAGCUGAAGACUGUGCAAUAGACUGGGAAGGCCCUGAUGAUCCUCCCUUGAAAGCUAAUCUUCCCCCACCUAGUGACUCUUCCAUGUUGCCUGUGGGCCUGGCCUUGCUGUUACCCUCUCUCUCCAUUUUGUUCUUCAACUUGCGGUUCUCUGUAGCCUGAGCAAAAGCUACCAUCAUCCCAUAAUUCAUAUCCGAAUUCAAUGCAGCCGUAGAAGCCUCAUUAAUGGUCAAAGAAUUAAGUCCCUGAACAAACCGGUGCACCCUGGACUCCAUUGUGGGCAAUAUAUGAAUGACAUAUUUUGACAAGCGAACAAACUUUAUGUGGUACUCCCACACACUCAUGUUACCUUGCCUCAAGUUUUCAAACUCCGCUGCACGGGCUGCCCUUGUCUCGGCGGGCAGGAAAUGAUCUAUAAAGGCGUUUGCAAACUCACUCCAUCUUGCCGGAGGACGCCCCUCCUCACGGGAAUCCUCCCACAACUCAAACCACGAAUAUGCCACCCCUUUCAGGCGAUAGGCAGCCAACUCCACCCCCUCUGUCUCAGUUGCACGCAUCACCCUGAGGGUCUUGUGUAUCUCAUCAAUGAAAUCUUGGGGGUCUUCUUCUGGAUUGGCACCCGUAAAUACCAGAGGGUCUAACUAAAGGAAUCUAUUUACCCUGGAACUAGUAGAAUCCCCUUGUUGGUUGGAUGAAAUGGGCACAACAUUUUAUCUCUGGGCCUGAGAGGCCACUAAUUGGGUCAGCAUCUGAAUAGCUCCCCUAAGAUCCCCAUCAGAAAUACCAGAACCUGAGGUUGGGGCUGGAGGUGGGACAUAAGUAUCAAUGGGAGGGAUAGUGGUACCCUCCGUAGGUGUAGGAACUGGGGUAGUCUAUUCUGGAAUAGAAGGAUCCGGCAGAGUAAUAGCAGGGUGACUACCCUCACCCGCAACAUCAAGUAGUGAAUCAUCAGCCACUCCUGGGGUGGCAUUGGCUUCUUGACCAAUUUUCGCUUUCUUCUUAGGUGUUAUUUACUGAAAGAUAGAACAACGCACUAAUUAGGAAGAAAACAGUUUCACCGCACGAUUAAGAAUAUCAAAGAAAGGUGUUAUUCCUAUAUGCCCAAGUAGCCUCCAACUUAUAGAUGUGGUCGACAACAUACUGAUAAGAAGGACUCUAGUAGACACGGCACCGAGACAUCCUAGGACACUUUAAAAUGUUAGGUUUGAUACCAAGUUUGUCACGCCUUAACUUCGGGAGGCGCGACCGGCGCUCAAUCGAGUGAACCCAACUGAGCAAGUAUCAACCGCUAUCUACCCAACUCUAUAGGAAUAAGGAAGUCAUGAUUACCUUUAUUUAAACUAGGAAAGAUAGUACAUUCAAAAUCUUAGUUCAUUUUAUAUCACAACAUUUAAAACGUGGUAAAACUUCCAAGGUUCCAUACAAGUUAUAGUGUAGAAGAAUGAAAGAGUACAAGGUUAUAACAAGGUCCAUUGACCUAUCCAAUACCCAUACAUAACUCACACAAACGUCUACAGAGCCUCUAAGGAUAGACGUGAUACAAUGCCGACAACAAGGCCCGGCUAUACUUCAAAAGUGAAAGUCCAAAAUAAGGAGAUGUACAAUAUAACCCCUUGAAGGAGAAAUGGGGCUCACUAAGACUUUGAGAAGAAUGUACUCCGCUAUGCGCGAUCGGCACUAUCCGUAAUGGAGCCACCUAUAUUCAUAAAAUAAAUGUAGCGCCCCCGGCAAAAGGGACGUUAGUGCCAUCGAAUAGCACUAGUAUGUAUAACUAAAUACCAUUUAACUAGAAAGAACUAUCAAGCAAGUAAAAGUAAAUCACAUGAAGUNNNNNNNNNNNNNNNNNNNNNNNNNNNNNNNNNNNNNNNNNNNNNNNNNNNNNNNNNNNNNNNNNNNNNNNNNNNNNNNNNNNNNNNNNNNNNNNNNNNNNNNNNNNNNNNNNNNNNNNNNNNNNNNNNNNNNNNNNNNNNNNNNNNNNNNNNNNNNNNNNNNNNNNNNNNNNNNNNNNNNNNNNNNNNNNNNNNNNNNNNNNNNNNNNNNNNNNNNNNNNNNNNNNNNNNNNNNNNNNNNNNNNNNNNNNNNNNNNNNNNNNNNNNNNNNNNNNNNNNNNNNNNNNNNNNNNNNNNNNNNNNNNNNNNNNNNNNNNNNNNNNNNNNNNNNNNNNNNNNNNNNNNNNNNNNNNNNNNNNNNNNNNNUUAAUUGCAAAUCAAUUAAUGCGCAAUAACAAUUAAUACAUUUACCAAUUCAAAUCUUACCACACUUUCGUAAAGAUAAAGAAAUGAAUUAGAGAAGAGAAUGAACUCUUGACAGUAUAAGAACAAAAGGAAAAAAAUCAUGGUAUGCCUCUAAAAUACAACACUACCAAUAUAUCAAAAGUUCUAAUUUAAAGGUUCAAGUCUAGGAGAAUUUCGAUAUAGUUUGGCCAUAACUGUCUUUGGAUAAAAAAAUAGCCAGAUUUACAAGUGGUAAUUGAAAAAUAGCCACAGUUUCAAAAGUAAUUGAAAUUUAGCCAUUUUUCAUGUAAAGAUAAAAUUAAACUAAAACAUUAUUCAAAAUUCAAAAAAUAUUCCAUCAUAAUAUACUGGAGUUCGAAUUUUUUACACAUGAACUUCCAGCAUAAUAUACUGGAGUUCCAACAUAAUAUACUGGAGUUCCAGUAUAAUAUGCUGGAAGUUCAUACAUAGGUACUCCAAUCUCCAGUAUAUUAUGCUGGAACUUUUCGUGUGCUGGAGUUCCAGCAUAAUAUGCUGGAAGUUCAUACACAUAUUAAUUAUUAUGCUGGAAGUUCAUACAGAGGUGCACCAAUCUCUUGUAUAUUAUGCUAGAACUUUUCGUAUUGCAGCAAAAUAAUGACUAUCUUUUAAUGACUUUACAAACGCUGGCUAUUUUUUAAUUACCAGUUCGAAAACUGACUAGCCUGUAUUAUUUUCAUUAGAUGAUAGUAGUAAAUUUCUUCAACAUGUUCCCUUACGUGACAGAAUGAAAUGGAUUUAAUACGAUGAAGGUUCAAUAGAAAGCCCAUUUGGCGAUAAAGAGUCUCUAAUGGUAUCUAAACUUUGAAAUAAACCUAAAGUCAAAUUUUCCUUUUAGCGUGCAAAAAAAAAAAGAAACUAGGCACACUAAUGGAUACUUUCUUGAAUUGAUCAUUUUUAGUAAAAUGUUUUUCAUGAGAAAAUUAUUUUCAUUUUUUAGUAAAAUAUUUUUUAGAAUUUUAUUACCAUGUAAUGAAAAAUAUUUUCUGUUAAAAGGAGGAAAAUGACCUCUUACUUAACAACUAUGUUACUUUUUAAUUUAAAAAUCAAGACUAGAAAAUUAAAUUCAAGUGAUAGUUGGACUUGCAUUGCAUAACCAUACCAUUUAUUUUUUUAGAAAUGAGGUCAAGAUAACCGAGAGAAAAUAAACUUUUAAAAUGUUUUUGAACCUAAUUGCACAUAUGAGAUGUAAGUUAGUAUAAGAGUGUCUUUUUCAUUUCUGAACUCAUCCAACUCGACUCCCUUUUUAUUUUUUAUUUUAUUGACAAAAUUCUAAAUAAGAUCACAAGAAUGGAGACUCUUUUAUUUUUUCCACAAAAGUAAAAAAUAAAAUAUAUAAAGACAAAUGAAAAGAGAAGUCUGUUCUUUCGUAUGAAAAGCCGUUCUUUUUUCCACAGUCCUUUGCCGCCGGCUCUUCUCUCUAAGGUAUCUACCUAUAACUCUUUUUUUUUAAAAAAAAAAAAAUUUAUAAUUUUAUUUUUAAAGGAACCACUGUCAUGUGCAUUUAUCAACGAAAAAUUGUACAAGGAGGUGGACAUAAACCAAAACCUCCAUUAGAUAUUAGCUUUGAUAAAGCACCAAAAAAGGCUAACUAAUACGCUAAGUUUGAACUAGCUUUGUGCAACUUGUCAUGACCCAAAAUCCACCAGUCGUGAUGGCACCUAACUCGACCCGCUAGGUAAGCCAACUAACAGUCAAUACAAUCCAAAUGAUAUUUAUAGGAAAAUAGUGAAGAAUAAUCUGAACAUUUAUAUAUUAACCCAAUGACUGGUAGUACGAAUCAUGAGCUUCUAAGACUUGAAAUUUACAAAGCUGGUACAAAUAAUUACACGAUCUAUUUGAAAACUACAUAAAUAGAUUAGCAAAAUCUAAAGCUACCCAAGACAAGUGAUAGCUAUAUCUGUAAUGCACAAAUAUCUUCAGAGUCAGCUCCCGACAUCACCAGCAGCUCCGCUCUAAAAAUCUGCAUGCAAGGUGCAGAAGUGUACUAUGAGUAUAACUGACCCCAUAUACCCAGUAAGUAUCUUGUCUCACCUCGCCGAAGUAGUGACGAGGCCUUUUAGUUUAAAGAUACUGACUGGUAAACCUCUACUGUAAACUAGCAAUAGAACUAUACUACGAUAUAACAGAAAAGAGUACACGAAAUGAAUAUGCAAAGUAAUAACUAAGCAUUAGAAGAGAUCACAAUUUAACAUUUUCCAAUAUCUCGACAAAUCUUUUUCUUAGUGCGAAAACCAAUAAACCACAAUAGUCACUCCAUAACUUUCAUAGCGUGAGGAAUGUACUAAGAUAUCAAGUCAAUUGCACGGCAACACCCUUCGUGCAU
rnacentral:lncRNA from 1 species